rnacentral:rRNA from 1 species
UAGGGAAUAUUAGAAAUGGCCGAAAGUCUGAUCUAGCGACACCGCGUGUGCGAAGAAGGCCUUCGGGUUGUAAAGCACUUUUUGGAAGGAAUAGGAAGGAAGGUACUUCCAGAAUAAGUCUCGGCUAACUACGUGCCAGCAGCCGCGGUAACACGUAGGAGGCGAACGUUAUCCGGAUUUACUGGGCGUAAAGCGCGUGUAGGUGGUUUUGUAAGUAGGGCGUGAAAGCUCCUGGCUCAACUAGGAGAGGCCGUUCUAAACUGCAGAGAUAGAGGAUGGUAGAGGGAGGUGGAAUUCCAGGUGUAGCGGUGGAAUGCGCAGAUAUCUGGAGGAACACCAGUGGCGAAGGCGGCCUCCUGGACCAUUCCUGACACUCAGACGCGAAAGCUAGGGUAGCAAACGG